rnacentral:rRNA from 1 species
GACGAACGCUGGCGGCGUGCUUAACACAUGCAAGUCGAACGGAAAGGCCCUGCUUUUGUGGGGUGCUCGAGUGGCGAACGGGUGAGUAACACGUGAGUAACCUGCCCUUGACUUUGGGAUAACUUCAGGAAACUGGGGCUAAUACCGGAUAGGAGCUCCUGCUGCAUGGUGGGGGUUGGAAAGUUUCGGCGGUUGGGGAUGGACUCGCGGCUUAUCAGCUUGUUGGUGGGGUAGUGGCUUACCAAGGCUUUGACGGGUAGCCGGCCUGAGAGGGUGACCGGCCACAGUGGGACUGAGAGACGGCCCAGACUCCUACGGGAGGCAGCAGUGGGGAAUAUUGCACAAUGGGCGGAGGCGUGAUGCAGCAACGCCGCGUGCGGGAUGACGGCCUUCGGGUUGUAAACCGCUUUCGCCUGUGACGAAGCGUGAGUGACGGUAAUGGGUAAAGAAGCACCGGCUAACUACGUG